GAUGAACAGACUCAGAUUGUGAUAGAUGC
rnacentral:piRNA from 1 species